rnacentral:rRNA from 1 species
AUCAAUAAGCGGAGGAAAAGAAACUAACAAGGAUUCCCCUAGUAACGGCGAGUGAAGCGGGAAGAGCUCAAAUUUAAAAUCUGGUUUGCUUGCAAAUCCGAGUUGUAGUCUGAAGAAACGUUUUCCAUGAAAGCUGAGGCACAAGUCCUUUGGAACAGGGCAUCAUAGAGGGUGAGAAUCCCGUCCAUGGUCUCAAGCCUUUCAUUUUGUGAUACGUUUUCUAAGAGUCAGGUUGUUUGGGAAUGCAGCCUAAAAUGGGUGGUAAAUUUCAUCUAAAGCUAAAUAUUGGCGAGAGACCGAUAGCGAACAAGUACCGUGAGGGAAAGAUGAAAAGAACUUUGAAAAGAGAGUUAAAAAGUACGUGAAAUUGUUGAAAGGGAACCGUUUGAAGCCAGUCUUGCUUGCUUGUGAUCAGUCUUUGCUUCGGCUUGGAUGCACUCUCAGGUUAUGCAGGUCAACGUCAGUUUGAGAGGUGGGAAAAAAGCGUGAGGAAUGUGGCCUUCGGGUGUUAUAGCCUCUUGCUAAAUACCAUCUUUUGGACUGAGGCUCGCAGCAAAAAUGUGGGCAGGUUUGCGUUUGAGGUGAUACAUUAUUAAGACAGCUUGCUGACUUAGUUUUGUCUAUCUUCACUGUAAGCUUCGCUUCUAAUUUGCUUAGGUCGUUGACAUAAUGGCUUUAAAUGAC